AUGGCCGUUUUUCACCAUAUUCUGAGUGCCUUUUGCCAAGCACUUAUCAUCGCUGAGGUGAUUCUUGGGCAUAGUGACAAGGAGGUGCUCCGUGAGCUGAAGAACUUCCUGAAGGCGCAAAACCCGAUCAACCGUGGCGCCUAUGACACCUGGUCUGAGACAGAGGCCUCGCCGUGCCGUCUCCAAGGCGUUGAGUGUGAUGCAGCAGGGCGUGUCACUUAUCUCGACCUCUCGAGCUCCAACAUUGCCGGACCAUCCUUCGGUAACUUUUCGCGCCUCACCCGGCUCACGCACCUCGAUCUCUCGACAAACAGUAUCACUGGUCAACUCCAUCCUGAUCUCAAGCACUGCUGGGACCUCCAGUACCUCAACUUAUCAAGCAACCUCAUCGGUGGCGCCCUCGAUGUGUCCACCCUGACCAACAUACGCAUACUAGAUCUAUCUUAG
rnacentral:rRNA from 1 species